AGACUGAACGCUGGCGGCAGGCCUAACACAUGCAAGUCGAGCGGUAGAGAGGUGCUUGCACCUCUUGAGAGCGGCGGACGGGUGAGUAAAGCCUAGGAAUCUGCCUGGUAGUGGGGGAUAACGCUCGGAAACGGACGCUAAUACCGCAUACGUCCUACGGGAGAAAGCAGGGGACCUUCGGGCCUUGCGCUAUCGAGA
rnacentral:rRNA from 1 species